rnacentral:lncRNA from 1 species
GUGGAAACCCAUCUGUUCCUCACCACUGGCGGAGACCACAAUCUGCAGCCAUGGAGACAGUGGAAUGUUCUUCCUACAGCUAGAUCCAUCUGCCCUAGAAGAGGGGGCAAACAAGGAAAACAAAGCUGCAAGCCCCGAAGAAUAUUAACAAGAGAAUAAGGUUUCCAGAUUUAACAAAUAAAAAUAUAAAAUGCCGGCCAGUAUGGAGUGAUCACGAAACCCGUCUCAUGCAGAAGCGUGCUAAACCCGGGUCCCAGGAGCACCUGGUGCCCAGGGAGGAGGAGCCCGCCUCAUCUAGGGUCAGGAGGGACCCACGAGGCUGCGGGGGCAGCAGUUCUGCUGUGCGCUCUCAAAGGAGCGUGGAGAUGGAUGGGAAUUCUGCAGCCAGACCCACCGCGGCAGUCAGAGAUGUUUCCGCAAGAAAUGAGACCGCUCGCUUGUCCGACUCGGAGGAAGCUCAAUUAAUGGCAUCAGGUGCGGUCAGCCCUUCAUCAGUGCGGGAAGGCGGCAGCCCUGAGCCGCGCAGCAGUGCCAGGCCUGCAGUCCUGACAAGGAGAUGUGAGACCCCAGCCCCGAGGGACCACGGACAGCCCUCUGACAGAUGAUUCAGUGUGGGACCACCACAAAACCAUGCAGGCUGGGCAGGCUGGGAACCUCCAACCUUUUCCCAUUUGCCUAAAAGUAAGUGAACAUAAAAUUGAAAAAUCUGAAAGAGGAUGUCUGGGGUGAUUCUGGCUCCAUGCCUUAGGGGUUUCUUUCUAACUGGAGGGGCCCCAAUGCCUGAAAAGGCUGCUGCCUCCAUGACAUGGGGCUUUUUAAUCAAGAGCAGAGAGGAGAUUCAUAGGCAGG